rnacentral:rRNA from 1 species
AGAAUGAACGCUGGCGGCGUGCUUUACACAUGCAAGUCGAGCGAGGCGUGUAGCAAUACACAGUCGAGCGGCGAACGGGUGAGUAACGCGUGGAUAACCUACCCAGAGGUGGGGGAUAACCCGGGGAAACUCGGGCUAAUACCGCAUAACACCGCAAGGUCAAAGGGGGCCGCAAGGCUCUCGCCAUUGGAGGGGUCCGCGUCCGAUUAGCUAGUUGGUAGGUAAUGGCCUACCGAAGGCGACGAUCGGUAGGCCGGACCUGAGAGGGUGAUCGGCCACACUGGAACUGACGACACCGGUCCAGACUCCACGGAGGCAGCAGUAGGGAUUUAGCGCAACGUGGGGGGAACCCUAGGAC